ACAGGUUUAAAGCGAGAAAACAAGAACUUAGAUUGGAGGUACCAAUGAUGGAGCAACAAAAAUACAAGGAUACACAGACACUGUUUUCAAGGACAUUAUUGACCCAUUUGUGGAUUAAGAUGCUUGCUGUUGCUGCUGUCUGGAAAGAUGAUGGUGAUUUGCCAUCAAUCAGGCAGGGGUGAAACUGACUAUGAGCAGAGUGACUCUGUUUCCUACAUGGGAAGAGAACCAGUCAUCCAUGACAGAAUAUUCUGAAUAACUUUGGCCGCUGGAGGUUUCAACUUCUCUUAGUCUUAACCACAUAUUUAAGCUUAAUGCAUUUUGAGCUGUAACACCAGAUCUUAACAAUCCUCUUGGAAAGGAAAAGGGGUUGGAUUGCUGAAAUUAUAUCAGGAAGAAAUUAAUUAUGUUUUCUUUGACUACCAUCAAAAGCUGGUCUGAGCACCAUAUUUCCUAAAUGACUGGUGAUUUGGGCUGCUCAGUACAAGCGGAUAAUUAUUUCAAUAAAUAAAUGCUUAAUGCAGCAUUGUACAGGCAUCAAUACAUAGCCAGUUGUAAGAACAUUUCACAAAUCUGAACUUUUUACCCUGUAUCAACUAAACAUCUAAAGGAAUCUACUGGCUAUAAAACAUUUCUAAAGUAUCCAUGAAAACCCUAAAGUGUCUGCACUGGUAAACAGAUGUGCAGCUGAACUUAUAGAGCAGAGAGUGGCAAGUUCUAGCCCAGCCUGCAGUUAAUUAGCCAAGCAGAGCCCCCAAGCUGCUUACCUUUCCCUGAUUGUCAUCGACAGCUCUGCUGGAGAACACAAGAGCUGGGGAGUGCAUGCCUGUGGGCUUCAUUUGAAUAUACACCUGGCCCAGCAUCAUUGUUCAAACAUGAGUGACAUGAUGUAUUUGGGCAGAUGCAUCAAAUGAGGCCAAUUAGUGAAAUGAUACCCUGUGGUGUUCACCAUGUCUUACAGCCAUGUGCCAAGCAAUAGAAUUUUAUCAGGAAACAGAUCAAGUCCUUACGUUUGGCACUUAUAAAGUCCACAAAAUUGCUCCCAGAUCCUGGACACGAGCCAAUGAAUGGAGAUGCCCAGAACGAGCAAAGACAUCCGACAAUCCACAUCGCAAGUCCAGACCCCACUUCUGGGAAAGUCAAUCGUAUGUGCUUGGCCUGCUGAAGGUGGGAGUCACAGGCAGAGGCAUGGAUGUGAGGCCUGCUGCAGGACACUCGUGAGGACCUGCCUGAUAAGAUCCAUGGGUUGUGAAGUAGGAGCUCGGAGCCCUUUAAGUUAACUAGUUACUCCUCUCGCUGGUCUCCCUCAGGCCAACUAGCAGGGCAUUCCAGCCUGAGUGCAACCAUAAACCAGACCAAAUAUUAUCCCAAUCACUAACUACAGGGGCCAAUCACAACUCCCACCCCAACCCAAUGCCCUGACACAACCCUCAUGAUCCUGACUCAAAACACCCACAACUUCCAUGUCAACCCUAUUCUUUCCUCAGGACUUCCCUGAUAUCUUUUCUCCACGGUGAGUGGGGUCCUUCACACAUGUUAAACAGGCAGGGCCUCUUUUAUUGCAUCCACACCUGGGCUACCUGCAGAACAGAGCUCGGCAGCAGCAACCUCCCACACAAAGCCAGUGUUGUCCUGCUGUGCAUUGCCAGUUUAACACAUUUUCCCCAGCACAGAACAUCUGGACUUAGGCUUCAUUCAAGGAGGUAAAGAAACUCCAAAUUAAUUAAAGAAGUUCGCAACAAGACCAGUAGCAGCACUUACAGACACGCCAGUAAAGUGACUGAGCCCUUGGCCCCUACAACAAGCCUUGACAUGGAUUCUAGCCAGCUUCUGCCCAAUAUUUCAGGAUAAAAUAAAUGAUCCUGAGUCUCAUUAAAAGCUCAAAACCCAGGAAUCCCAGCUAAAGGUCUAAGCAUUGGACCAAAGAACUGCAUUAUUAAAUUUUAAAUUCCUGUAUACUCAGUACCUGUCGCUUUUUACAGAUUUAAGGGUUUUAUUCUCCCUUGGAAACUUAGAGCUUCUUUUGCAACCUCACAUUGUCCCAAUGUGCUUUCAUGCCAAUUAAGCCCUUUCUGAAUAUGCUUCCCUAUUUAUACUGCACAGUCCCACACAGAGCAAUAAUCCACAACCUUCGACUCAGAGGUGAGUUUGAUAUGCAUUGAACCUCAGUUGGCAACAUCUGAACCAUGGUGACACCCAUGUAUCCUCAAAAAGGAAGAUCUCUAAUCAUGCUGUUGUAGUAACAAAGCAGUUUGGCAGAAGUACAGAGAGUGUUACUGCAGGAAGAGAUGACAAAUAUUGCUCUUUUGGGUUAAUGACUGCAUACAGGAACUGCCCCUGGCAGAGAUGUAGAUGCAGAUCAUCUAUACACUUCCCUAAUUAAGUGCUGAUAAGUGAUUACAGUAUGGAAAAGAAUGCUAAACUGCUUUCCAGUUUUUUAAACAUUGUUCAGCAAGGAAUAACAUUUGAAUGUUGCUUUACAAUUUAGUUAAAUUAGAAAUAGAAUCCAAAAUUAUACUGCAGCAAAAAUAAAUAGCAAGACCUUACCUGAAGUCUUUAACUCAACAGACCAUUCAAAAAAUUAAAGACACUUGGCUCUCACUGGUAGAACAACAAAAAAUUCUGCAAAGCAAGUCUUAAAAAAAUUGGUAAUAAAUUCAAAUAGCACUUUGACUCACAUUUUGCCUUCAGCAUUGUAUUUACUUCUCAAAGUAAACCAAAGGAUUAUGGGAAUCAUCUAUAUCGCCAUUGCAUUAUUUAUAGAUUUGCACAUGGUUUCUCCGGUGAUUUCUGUUAUCCCUCUUGACCCAGAGUGAAACAAUAUCAACAACACUGCCUUGGUUUCAGCUCAGACAGGAAUGUUUCCCUGCUUCCCAGAGAGAAAAUUUCACCAAGGACAAUAUUGAAUUAUUUUCCUACCACCCAGUUUCAGGAUUAAAGGAUCAUGGAACGAAGUCAAAAUAGUCAUUAUGAGUAGUGCAGAAAGCUCAAAGGGGAAAUUGUUCAGGGUUGGUGACAGAUCCACAGCAAAGGCUGGCAGUGGCUGACAAAAUAAAGUACAUUU